rnacentral:other from 1 species
AUAUGGCUGCGGGGUGCGUGUAUCCGUACUUUUUCCCUUGGGCCGAUAGUCUUCUAAGACGGGAGCUGUCCCUGCCUGUGCCCCUUGGGUCUGGUAUAUGGCACCCACCUGUUUAACAGGGCCUUAGCGGAUAGUUCAUCGGACACGGCCUUCGCGGCUAUUUU